rnacentral:rRNA from 1 species
GAUGAACGCUAGCGGCAGGCUUAACACAUGCAAGUCGAGGGGUAUAUGUCUUCGGAUAUAGAGACCGGCGUACGGGUGCGUAACGCGUAUGCAAUCUGCAUUUCACAGAGGGAUAGCCCAGAGAAAUUUGGAUUAAUACCUCAUAGUAUAAUCAAGCCGCAUGGUUUAAUUAUUAACGUCACAACGGUGAAAGAUGAGCAUGCGUCCCAUUAGCUAGUUGGUAAGGUAACGGCUUACCAAGGCAACGAUGGGUAGGGGUCCUGAGAGGGAGAUCCCCCACACUGGUACUGAGACACGGACCAGACUCCUACGGGAGGCAGCAGUGAGGAAUAUUGGACAAUGGGCGCAAGCCUGAUCCAGCCAUGCCGCGUGCAGGAUGACGGUCCUAUGGAUUGUAAACUGCUUUUGUACGAGGAGAAACAUCCCGACGUGUCGGGACUUGACGGUAUCGUAAGAAUAAGGAUCGGCUAACUCCGUGCCAGCAGCCGCCGUAAUAC